rnacentral:tRNA from 1 species
GGGCGUAUAGCUCAGUUGGCUAGAGCGCCACGUUGACAUCGUGGAGGUCACUGGUUCAAGUCCAGUUACGCCCA